GUGGCAGCAGCCGCGGUAAAACCAGCACCUCAAGUGGUCAGGAUGAUUAUUGGGCCUAAAGCAUCCGUAGCCGGCUCUGUUAGUUUUCGGUUAAAUCCAUAUGCUCAACAUAUGGGCCGCCGGGAAUACUACAAAGCUAGGGAGUGGGAGAGGUAGACGGUACUCCGUAGGAAGGGGUAAAAUCCUUUGAUCUAUGGAUGACCACCAGUGGCGAAGGCGGUCUACCAGAACACGUUCGACGGUGAGGGAUGAAAGCUGGGGGAGCAAACCGGAUUAGAUACCCGGGUAGUCCCAGCUGUAAACUAUGCAAACUCAGUGAUGCAUUGGCUUGUGGCCAGUGCAGUGCCGCAGAGAAGUCGUUAAGUUUGCCGCCUGGGAAGUACGUACGCAAGUAUGAAACUUAAAGGAAUUGGCGGGGGAGCACCACAAGGGGUGAAGCCUGCGGUUCAAUUGGAGUCAACGCCAGAAAUCUUACCCGGAGAGACAGCAGAAUGAAGGUCAAGUUGAAGCCUUUACCAGACAAGCUGAGAAGUGGUGCAUGGCCGUCGCCAGCUCGUGCCGUGAGGUGUCCUGUUAAGUCAGGUAACGAGCGAGAUCCUUGCCUCUAGUUGCCAGCAUUACUCUCAGGAGUAGUGGGGCGAAUUAGCGGGACUGCCGUAGUUAAUACGGAGGAAGGAGAGGGCCACGGCAGGUCAGUAUGCCCUGAAACUCUGGGGCCACACGCGGGCUGCAAUGGUAGUGACAAUGUGUUCCGAAUCCGAGAGGAGGAGGUAAGCCUCAAACGCUACCACAGUUAUGACUGAGGGCUGCAACUCGCCCUCACGAAUAUGGAAUCCCUAGUAACUGCGUGUCAUUAUCGCGCGGUGAAUACGUCCCUGCUCCU
rnacentral:rRNA from 1 species